rnacentral:rRNA from 1 species
UGGUGGAUUGAUUUGUCUGGUUAAUUCCGUUAACGAACGAGACCCCUGCCUGCUAAAUAGGUACAUGAAUGAUUAUUCAUUUGUGAUAUCUUCUUAGAGGGACUUUUGUUGACUAAACAAAGGAAGUUGGGGGCAAUAACA